rnacentral:rRNA from 1 species
GAUGAACGCUGGCGGCGUGCCUAAUACAUGCAAGUCGAGCGAACGGACGAGAAGCUUGCUUCUCUGCUGUUAGCGGCGGACGGGUGAGUAACACGUGGAUAACCUACCUAUAAGACUGGGAUAACUUCGGGAAACCGGAGCUAAUACCGGAUAAUAUUUUGAACCGCAUGGUUCAACAGUGAAAGACGGUCUUGCUGUCACUUAUAGAUGGAUCCGGGCUGCUUUAGCUAGUUGGUAAGGUAACGGCUUACCAAGGCAACGCUGCAUAGCCGACCUGAGAGGGUGAUCGGCAACCCGGGACUGGAGACCGGUUCCGGAUUCCAAGGGAGGGCAGCGGUGGGGAAUUUGCCGCAAUGGGCGAAACCCUGACGAGGCAAGGCGGGGUGAGGAAUGAAGGUCUCCGGAUCGUAAACCCCUGUUAUUGGGGGAGAACGUAUGUGUAAGUUACGGUGCUCAUCUGAAGGGUACCAAAGAAGAAGGCCACGGCUAACUACGU